AUAUGUCACCAUAAAAGUCAAGCCCAGGUAAUAACUGACACAGUCUCUCAAAGCAUUCACAGAAGGCUAAUUCACUUUAUUAAGAAACCCAUUGCUUUUUAUACUCUAGUUUAUUACAGGUGGACCUGAUUGGUCCUUUAAUUAAAGUACCAUCACCAUUGGCUAAUUAAGAAACCACCCUUUUGGUAAACAAAUCUCCAUAACACAUUCCACAGCACCAAGUGCAGCAAAUUAAGAUAAGAAUUGUUUCUCAUUCUUCUCUCUGAGUUCUCACAGCUUUCCCCAGGAUGAUGCUGGGAAAGUUGUGUCUGUUUCUCUCUGUGACCAGAGAGCUGCUGCCACAGGGAUACUCUGGAUGAGGGCUGGAGAUCUUCUGCCCUUCCCCUGGGAUGUCAUGCAGGAAAAAAUCCCUGGGCUUUAUCCUUUACAGGAGCAGCUGCAUGGAGCUGCAAUUCUUCCCAUGGCUGACCUGGCAGCAAAGCAUCUCAAGGUUUCAGAGUGCUUACACCACUGGAAUGAGAAGAAAGCUCCGAGCUGCUCUCGCAGCUGAGCUGCAGGCUCAGGCCAGCAUCACUGAGAAGAUGCUGUUUGAUUCACACUGUGAAGAUUCCUCUCGCCACUGAAGUGCUGAAGACUUAAUUAUGUUUUUAGAUGAUAGCUUAGAUCCAGGAGCACAAGCUGCAUUGUACAAACAAGGGAGCUGACUCAAGCAGACACCCGAGACAGCCCAGCCCAGCCCCCUGGCAGCGAUGAUUGCUUCCCCUGUGAGAUUAAAAAGUGAAGCAACAUGAAGGGUUAGCGUGUUCCACAAUGAAUCCUGAUUUAUCAAACAUGAUUAGUGGAUUAUGAAUAUGGAUGUGAUUUCUAAAACCAAAAGAAAGUUUGUGUGGUUCAUCCUUCUUUAAAAGAUUAAUUUAAACUCAAGGAGCUGUAACAGCCAUGCAAGCAGAUUGUGGGAAUGUCAGGAAAUAGAGGAAAGGAGUGAGGGAGGAGAUUUGGAAAAAUCAGGUGAGCUCUAGCAGGUCAGCAGUGUCCAGGGAUUUACUGGAGUCUUGUACAAUUAAAUUCAGUUUUAGAGGGAUAGAGUAUAUAUAGGGUUGUUUAAAAUCUGUCUAUAUAGAGCUGUCUAAAAUCUAUUUUGACAUUUGUUAUUAACCCUUGUGCUUUAAUUUACUCUCGGAUACCAGAAGCUCAGAUUUGAGGGAGGGAGUUCUAUUUCAGCCAUGCUAUUUGUCUUUUCUCCCUUUUCCCCCAGAGACAGCCCUCAAGGUGUGGCAUCAGUUCCCAUCUGCAGGAACCAUAGUGGGGGUUCUUUAUCACAGCCUUCCCAGAGGCCAGCAAUCUUCCUCCAGCUGCUUAAACUGCCCUUAGAGCUGUGUUACAGCAGAAAAGCAGCAUGAAGGAGCAGUUAGGGGCCAAGAAGAGGCCCAGUGUGGUUCUAGCAGGGCUGCCUGGAGAGGAAAAGAUGCUGUUUUCCUAGCAUGGAGCUUAGUGUGGAGAGUAAAGUUUCUCACUGAAGGCUGAUAACAGUAAAAACAUUUGAGGGCCAGUUACAAACCCACCACAUCCUGGACACUGGAGAGUUGCCCAUGGCUAAGGCCAAAAUUCCAGGUUUUCUGCCCAAAAGGAGAGUGAGUCUUGUGCUCAGAGCAGCAAACCACAGCAGUGCCCACGUCUGUGUGCCGUAGACAGGAAUGAAGAGCUGCUCCUCUGUGUGAGGAUCUCAUCCUUUCAGCAAUAUCCCGUUUUCCAGGAUGGGCUCUGGAAAGCAGACAAGGUCUCUGCUCAUCUCCAUGGUAUCCGAGUGUCUCCUUUAUUAUAGAAACAAACAACUCAUUUCAGAAACAAGUUAAGGUUGCUAAGUGACAACAAUGUACUUACUUAUCACAUCAUUUGCAAAGCCCUCACACUUAAAAACAGGGAAAUGAAUGAUUAAGGACUCCUGAAACCCUAUAUUGCCCACAUAAUAAAUAUAUGCUUUUAAGCAGAGUACAAAGAAGUGCACUUUUUAUUUUGACAAAACAACCUCAUGCUUAACCUCCUGUGAAUUUUUUUCUUUUUUUCCCCUCCUCUUUUAUGUGGCAUUUUUAUUUCAUUAAAUUUGGUGUACAAACAUUUUCUUUUAAAGAAUAUUCUUAGGUGGCAAAUACUAUUAGUUAGUUGAAGUAUUUCUAAGUAUCAUUACUGUUCAGUGAUACUGAAUUUUCAAUAAGUGAAUAUGUGCCUAUUUUUAUACUAAAAAAAAAUCCAUAAUGUUGUUUGUCUUCAAAUCAACAUUCAUUUGGUAGGUGUGUUUCACAUUUUUUAAAAAGGGUUUGUUUUCUGUUUAAAUUCAAAAAGUGAUGAUAGAAAAUUAUUUCUAUUGGGUCAGAAUUAAGAUUGUGGAGGAAUGUUACCACACGUUUCACUCUGUUUGACAGAACAAUUUAGGUGAAACAUAAGUUCAUCCAAAGUCAAGAAGAACUUUGACAUUGCUUUUGGAUGGGUCAGGAUUUCACCCUUUAUAUACUUUAUGUAGGGAAUAAAAGAUGCAUGAUGCUGUUAAUUAUUUAUCCCCUGGCUUUUAAGCACUUGUGUUUUGUACCUAAUGCGAUGGGGCUGAGGGAGCAAUGCUGGUACUUCAUUGUAACUUGUUGGAGGAACAAAACUGCUGUUUGUUUCAGGACUCCCAGCAUCAGUCAGGUGUUUAUUUCUGCCUUUAUGGUUUUUAUUUUUGCAUGGAUAAAUUGAAAUCCAGGGUUUUCCUUCAUUUGUAGCUUAGAAAGGUGUGAACCUAUGCCACUGGAGGAAGCACCCAUGUGCUGGGAGUUUGGGCCUGAAUGGGUUAAACUAAAAUUUUGGCCAACCCUUUUCGAGCGGAUAAUCACAGGAACCCACAAUCUUCUCCUUGCACUGCCUUUGAAAUUGCUGAGGAUGAGAUUUCCAUCAGGGACCUGGAUACAUCCAGACUUUUGGGCAGUGACAUUUUUCAUGCCUCUCUCUGAGCUCUGUGGUGGAGAUUUCUAAGCAGUCAGGAUGUAAAGGAGAGAGCAGAUUUUCAAAAUCACUCCCCUUCCCUCAUCCCUGCAAUUACUGCACUGGCAAGGAGAGCUGUGAAAGGAUUCAGUGCUCAUUGAGCUGUGCUCUCUUGAAAAAUGUGACCACUUGCUUGGAGGUCUAAAUGGGAGCUGGGUAAUGUCACUUUGGUUGCUGGAAGAAUUAGUCAAUGACAAGAGGGCAAUCACAGCAGCUCUUCUCCAUUAGCUUCAUCUUUCCCCCAACAAUAUCAAUUAUGGAAGCUCUAGCCCAAGGUUUCAAACAACAGCUAUUUCUCUACAAUGUUAUUAUUUUUUGCACAUAAAAAUGCCUUUUGCAUGAACCACUGUCAAGGUCUAAUCUGAUCUAUUUAUCUGUAUUUACAAGGCACUUAUCUUCUGUAGCACCUAAGAGCUCCACAUGAAUUAAUAGACAACACUCAUCCCAAUACCACUGAAAAAUCUCCCGGACUAAAAUCUUCCCUCUUGGAUCCCAGGAAAAUGAAAAGUGCUAUUAAAAGCAUAGCCAUGAAGGGAUCAAGACAAACACAAAGUGCCAAA